GAUGAAGUGGCCGAGUAGGUGGUGGGUUGUAGCCCCAAAGACAGAGGUUUGAGUCCUCUCUUUAUCA
rnacentral:tRNA from 1 species